ensembl:snRNA U6 U6 spliceosomal RNA
GCUCUCCCUUUGGCAGGACAUACAUUAAAAUCGUAAUGAUACAGUAAUUAGCGUGGCCCCUGAAGUAGGAUGACAUGUAAACUUGGGAAGCAUUCCAUAUUUUU